GUCACCGCAGCGCUGGGCGUCGAGGCGCCUCAGUCAGGUCGGGGUUCCGGGCGUGCGAGCUUCGCUCCGCGCUCUGCGCGCCUCCGGCCUCUCCGGCAGCCCUGGCCCGGCUCUGAAAAGAUGUGCGAGCAGCUGCUUGCCCCGCACACCCCGAGCCCUGGGUCGCGCGGCUCCCGCUCUGCGGGUUCAGGUCCGCACAUGGCCACAUCGCGCCUGCGCAGAGCCCUCUCUCUGAAGUUAAAAUAGAGUCUACGGGAAGAAGGGACACCUUCCCUGCAGAGGUUCUUCCUCAGCCGUACCGAUCGUGAGGAAACCUCAGCCCGAAGUCAUUCAAAAACACUCGAGAAAGUGAGGCCCUUAAAUCCCGGCGCUGAGGAGGCAGAGGCAGGCGGAUCAGUUUGAGUCCAGCCUGGUCUCCAGAGCUAUUUCUAGGACAGUCAGGACUACACAGAGAAAUAGCCUGUCUCGAGAAACUAAAGCAAACAAACAAACAAAAAAAAAGGAAUCUUGCUCCGCCAGGGGUGUGUUUGUGUGUUACAGCUCUGAAGGGAAAGGUAUCCUGGCUAUUCAGGAGCCAAGGAACACCACAAAGUCACAUCACACAACAGUCCUCACACAAGACAUUUUUGCCGGGGGUGUGGAAAACCCAGGAGGGCAGCUGCCUCUGCGCCAGUGAGAAGAGCAAAGAAAUGAGCAGAAGGCAGGAAAUAGGAGGCAUUUUGCAGAGGAGGAAACUGCAGUCUGAGGAGGUUGUCAAGCUGACAGACAGGAGAGCCAGCACCCAUACUCAGGAGUCACCCUAAGUAAGACAGCCUCCAUCUGAAGCCACCUGGCGAGCUUGCUUGGCGCUGAUGUGACAGGGAGAGCUGAGCUUCAGAGCAAUGUGAUCCUGCUGCCAGAGGGGCACCCUUACCAUUCGUCUCCAGAGACCGCCUCAACGCGUUCCAUGUGGACAGAAAAAUGGUGAUUCGAUCAUGCAACUGCUUUCUCAGCCCAUCUGUUGAGGAAAGUGUUUGGUAAGAACCAUGACAACAAUACAGCUAAGUUCUGACCCACUUGGUGCAAGCUCUCGAUGGAACCAACUCCCUGUUUUCCUAGCUAGUUGUAAUCAGUGUCUCCUCACCUCAUGCUGAAAGCUUAAAGCACAUGGCACCUGUUACUGAGCCCCUGUCCCUUCCUCUGUUAAAAUCAGAGGGUCCCGAUUCCUUUAUAGCACUUGGGCAGAGUCAUACCUGAAUGGUGACUGUUAAUAAAACCUCUGAUGGAACUGUACUCUGCUUCUGAAACAUUCUGGAAUCGUUUCACUAGAUCUCUUUGCA